rnacentral:rRNA from 1 species
AACUUCAACAAUGGAUCUCUUGUUCCGGCAUCGAUGAAGAACGCAGCGAAAUGCGAUAACUAAUGAAUUGCAGAAUUCAGUGAAUCAUCGAGUCUUGAACGCACAUUGCGCCCCCUGGUAUUCCGGGGCAUGCCUGUCCGAGCGUCAUUGCUGCCCUCAAGCCCGGCUUGUGUGUUGGUCGCCGUCCCCCUCUCCGGGGGACGGCCCGAAAGGCAGCGGCGGCACCGCGUCCGAUCCUCGAGCGUAUGGGCUUUGUCACAUGCUCUGUAGGAUUGGCCGGCGCCUGCCGACGUUUUCCAACCAUUCUUUCCAGGUUGACCUCGGAUCAGGUAGGGAUACCCGUGAACUUAAGCAUAUCAAUAACGGAGGAAAAAACCAACCGGAUUGCCUCAGUAACGGCGAGUGAGCGGCAAGAGCUCAAAUUUGAAAGCUGGCUCCUUCGGAGUCCGCAUUGUAAUUUGCAGAGGAUGCUUUGGGUGCGCCCCCGUCUAAGUGCCUGGAACGGGCCGUCAGAGAGGUGAGAAUCCGUCUUGGGCGGGUGUCCGUGCCGUGUAAAGCUCCUUCGACGAGUCGAGUUGUUGGGAAUGCAGCUCUAAAUGGUGGUAAUUUCAUCUAAAGCUAAAUACUGGCCGGAGACCGAUAGCGCACAAGUAGAGUGAUCGAAGAUGAAAGCACUUUGAAAAGAGAGUUAAACAGCACGUGAAAUUGUUGAAAGGGAAGCGCUUGCGACCAGACUCGCCCGCGGGGUUCAGCCGGCAUUCGUGCCGGUGUACUUCCCCGUGGGCGGCCAGCGUCGUUUGGGCGGCCGGUCAAAGGCCCCUGGAAUGUAGUGCCCUCCGGGCACCUUAUAGCCAGGGGUGCAAUGCGGCCAGCCUGGACCGAGGAACGCGCUUCGGCACGGACGCUGGCAUAAUGGUCGUAAACGACCCGUCUUGAAACACGGACCAAGGAGUCUAACAUCUACGCGAGUGUUCGGGUGUCAACCCGUGCGCGCAGUGAAGCGAACGGAGGUGGGAGCCCCUUGCGGGGCGCACAUCGACCGAUCCUGAUGUCUUCGAUGGAUUUGAGUAAAGCGUAGCUGUGGGGACCCGAAAGAUGGUGAACUAUGCCUGAAUAGGCGAAGCCAGAGAACUCUGGUGGAGGCUCGCAGCGUUCUGACGUGCAAAUCGAUCGUCAAAUUUGGUAUAGGGCGAAAGACUAAUCGAACCAUCUAGUAGCUGGUUCCUGCCGAAGUUUCCCUCAGGAUAGCAGUAACGCAAAUCAGUUUUAUGAGGUAAAGCGAAUGAUUAGAGGCAUUGGGGUUGAAACAACCUUAACCUAUUCUCAAACUUUAAAUAUGUAAGAAGCCCUUGUUGCUUAGUUGAACGUGGGCAUUAGAAUGGAGCGUUACUAGUGGGCCAUUUUUGUAAGCAGAACUGGCGAUGCGGGAUGAACCGAACGCGAGUUAAGGUGCCGGAAUGCACGCUCAUCAGACACACAAAGGUGUUAGUUCAUCUAGACAGCCGACGGGGCUGGAGUCGGAUCGCUAAGGAGUGUGUAACACUAGGGCGAAUGAACUAGCCCUGAAAUGGAUGGCGCUCAAGCGUGCUACCCAUACUCGCCGUCGGGUAGAACGAUGCCCGACGAGUAGGCAGGCGUGGGGUCCGUGACGAAGCCUUGGGAGUGAUCCGGGUCGACGGCCCUAGUGAGAUCUUGGUGGUAGUAGCAAUACUCAAUGAGAAUUUGAGGACUGAAGUGGGGAAGGUUCCAUGUGAACAGCAGUUGACAUGGGUUAUCGAUCUAAGGAUAGGAAGUUCCGUUUGAAAGGCGCCUCGUGCGCCGUGUGCCGAAGGGAGCCGGUUACAUUCCGGACUGGAUGUGGAUUCUCACGGCAACGUAACUGAACGCGGAGACAUCGGCGGGGUCUGGGAGAGUCUCUUUUCUUCUUGAGGCCUAUCACCUGAAAUCGUUGUCCGGAGCUAGGGUUCACGGCGGCAGAGCCCUGCACCUUUGCAGGGUCGGUGCGCCCCGACGAUCCUUGAAAUCGCGGGAAGGAAUAGUUUUCACGCCAGGUCGUACUCAUAACCGCAGCAGGUUCCAAGUGACAGCCUAGUUGAUAGAAAAUGUAGAUAGGAAGUCGGCAAAUGGAUCCGUAAUUCGGGAUAGGAUUGGCUUAAGGGUCGGCUCGCUGGGCCUUGGGGGAAACCCUCGGACAGGGGGCACUACGGGCAACGGCCGGCGCCCCCAGCACGGGUGGGGGACGCCUUGGCAGGCUUCGGCCGUCCGGCGGCGCUUAACGAAACUUAGAACUGGUACGGACAAGGGACUGACUGUCUAAUUAAACUAGCAUUGGAUGGCCAGAAGUGGUGUUGACGCAUGUGAUUUCUGCCAGUGCUUGAAUGUCAAGUGAAGAAUAACAAGCGGGGUAACGGCGGGAGUAACUAUGACUCUCUUAAGGUAGCAAUGCUCGUCAUCUAAUUAGUGACGCGCAUGAUGGAUUAACGAGAUUCCACUGUCCUAUUACUAUCUAGCGAACACAGCAAGGGACGGGCUUGGCAGAAUCAGCGGGGAAAGAAGACCUGUUGAGCUUGACUCUAGUUGACAUUGUGAAAGAAUAUGGGGUGUAGAAUAGUGGGAGCUUCGGCGCCAGUGAAAUACCAUACUUAUCGUUUUUUUACUUAUUCAAUGAGGGAACUGGGCUUCACGCCCAUCUUCUGGCGUUAGGUCUUCGCGGGCCGAUCCGGGUUGAAGACAUUGUCAGGUGGGGAGUUUGGUGGGGCGGCACAUCUGUUAACCACACGCAGGUGUCCUAAGGGGACUCAUGGAGAAAGAAUCUCAGUAGAAAAGGGUAAAGUCCCUUGAUUUUGAUUUUCAGUGUGAAUACAACAUGAAGUGUGGCUAUGAUCUUUAGUCCUCGAAUUUGAGGCUAGAGGUGCAGAAAGUUACCAGGAUAACUGGCUUGUGGCAGCCAGCGUUCAUAGCGACGUUGCUUUUUGAUCUUCGAUGUCGGCUCUUCCUAUAUACGAAGCAGAAUCGGUAAGGUUGGAUUGUUCACCACUAAUAGGGAGUGAGCUGGGUUUAGACGUCGUGAGACAGGUUAGUUUACCCUACUGAUGAAGGUGCCGCAACGGUAUUCAAUUUAGUACGAGAGGAACCGUUGAUUCAGAUAAUUGGUUUUGCGGCUGUCUGACAGGCAGUGCGCGACGCUACCAUUGCGGAUAAUGGCUGAACGCUCUAAGUCAGAAUCCGUGCGGACGCGGCGAUGUUGCCGCAGUGU